rnacentral:rRNA from 1 species
CAGUCGCCACGGUAAUACAGAGGGUGCGAGCGUUAAUCGGAUUUACUGGGCGUAAAGCGUGCGUAGGCGGCUAAUUGAGUCGGAUGUGAAAUCCCUGAGCUUAACUUAGGAAUUGCAUUCGAUACUGGGAAGCUAGAGUAUGGGAGAGGAUGGUAGAAUUCCAGGUGUAGCGGUGAAAUGCGUAGAGAUCUGGAGGAAUACCGAUGGCGAAGGCAGCCAUCUGGCCUAAUACUGACGCUGAGGUACGAAAGCAUGGGGAGCAAACAGGAUUAGAUACCCCGGUAGUCCCUGUCUCUUAUAC